rnacentral:rRNA from 1 species
AUGUUCAAGCUCUGCAACUUGAAGCCAGCUUUGUCAACCACCUUUCCCUUGCCAGAUUUUAGCGACAAAGAGAUGUGUGAGAAGAUCAACUUUGCCGUUGAUCAGAGCCCGUUCUUAUCAAGUGACGCUGAAAAGAAUCAAAUUGACAUGGAGGAAGCAGGAAAGGGAGAUGCCCUGGGCCUUGAACCCAUACGUAGAUCAAACUCUUGUAGCUAUCAUGGUGACGGGUUCUGCGAUGCACCAUCUUUUGACCUCGGCAUAGAUGGUGAUGCUCCAGCACCUGCUCCACUAGCAGAAACAGCGGAAGCCGGUGUGGUUGCCAUAGAUGAGGGUGAGUUGGACCCAACACCUGUGAAUGAAGGAUGCGCUGCUGCUGAUGCUGGCAAGGCAAUAGCUCAAGAGCUACAUGUUGAAUCACAAGACAAUUGCCACACCGCGAUAUGCACAGAACCAGAAGUUGGCACGAGCAGUUCUUCAGGACCACCUGUUGCACGAAGACAGAGGAGGGUAAUAAGGACCGCAGCAUCUCAAAGGUCUCCAUUCAUUGACUACAACAAGAAGAAGACGCUCAGCUCCAAUGAGGUAGUCAACAAGCUUUACGCUGCCCUCAUGUAUUGGGUCAGGCAUCACCCAGGAGAAAAUGAUGAGCUUACCAGCCCUGAGAUAAUCAGGUAUGGUGCUUUCUACAUUUUUUUAAAUGAGUUAGUUGAUUCGAUGAAGAUGGUUCAAUGGCUGUCAAGAAUUGUUAUUGAGACUGGAAUCUUAUACAUCAUGAAUAACUUACCAGAAGGGUCAAAGAAGGUCGUUAUGCCACUGAGGUUUUCUACCAAUUUACAACAAGGGAUCCACAAUGUGAAUGAGAUAAACAAGAAGUUUGAUUACAAGAACCGUCUCGACAAGCAAGACUUGGUCAUGCUGCCAGUGCUCGAGUGCGCUGAUGUAACCGAUAAGGAGGGAGGGAGGCAUUAUUGGGUCUUCAAUGUCAACUUGAGGGACGGACGCUUCGAAGUCUUGAUUCAAGCAGGACGCUGGACAACAUUGAGCUGA